rnacentral:rRNA from 1 species
GGCAGACGGGAGAGUAACACGUGGGAACGUGCCCUUUGGUUCGGAACAACACAGGAAACUUGUGCUAAUACCGGAUAAGCCCUUACGGGGAAAGAUUUAUCGCCAAAGGAUCGGCCCGCGUCUGAUUAGCUUGUUGGUGAGGUAACGGCUCACCAAGGCGACGAUCAGUAGCUGGUCUGAGAGGAUGAUCAGCCUCACUGGGACUGAGACACGGCCCAGACUCCUACGGGAGGCAGCAGUGGGGAAUAUUGGACAAUGGGCGCAAGCCUGAUCCAGCCAUGCCGCGUGGAUGAUGAAGGCCCUAGGGUUGUAAAGUCCUUUCGNGCGGGGNAAGAUAAUGACGGUACCCGCAGAAGAAGCCCCGGCUAACUUCGUGCCAGCAGCCGCGG